rnacentral:rRNA from 1 species
GGUAAACGGGUGGGCCCUCGAAAUCCGUCGGCGGGGGAUUCAGUCGGGAAGUGCGGGCUCGUGCGCCGGUCGUUUCGUUCGGACCCUCUCCUGGGCCGGAUCGGCGCCGAAGUCUCCGUGCGACCCGACGCACUUCCUCCCGCCCUUAGGACGCCGCAGCCGGUUGGGUAGCUGCGCGAGUCGGCCAUAAGGACGGACGCUGGUAGGUGGCCAGUGGCGUUCCUCCGUGUUCGUCGCUGGUUUUUAACCGGUUCGUCCGUGGCACGACACCCGACCGAGGUCGAUGGGUCCCUUUUAGGACCUUGCCGUCCCCUCCCCAGUGGUCGAGCGGACGCUCCAGCAGGCGAUCGUCCGUGCGAUCGUUCCACUCUCCGAGUGUGCGGUCCUCGGAUGGCGCUGUUGGUGAGGAUGCGUUCCGCGCCGGGGUUUUCCGGCGGCUUGCGGCGAGUAGGUCGGUCACCCACCCGACCCGUCUUGAAACACGGACCAAGGAGUCUAACAUGUGCGCGAGUCACGGGGUCUUGUUCAGGCCCAGAGGCGCAAUGAAAGUGAAGGCCGUCCUCGACGGCGGCCGAGUCGGGACUCCCUGCCCUAAUCGCAGGGAAGCACCGACGACCCGGCCUGUCCUAUUUAUAGGUUGGGCGGAGUGUGAGCGUACACGUUGGGACCCGAAAGAUGGUGAACUAUGCCUGGGCAGGACGAAGCCAGAGGAAACUCUGGUGGAGGUCCGUAGCGGUUCUGACGUGCAAAUCGAUCGUCAGACCUGGGUAUAGGGGCGAAA